GACAGAGGUGCCGAACGUUAGGCGGAAUCACUGGGCUUAAAGCGUGUGUAGGCGGGCGGGCAAGUACCUUGUGAAAUCCCACGGCUCAACCGUGGAACGGCUGGGUAUACUGCCUGUCUUGAGCCAACUAGGGGCGAGUGGAACAGACGGUGGAGCGGUGAAAUGCGUAGAUAUCAGGAGGAACACCGAUGGCGAAGGCAGGUCUCUGGGCUGACACUGACGCUCAUGCACGAAAGCGUGGGGAGCAAACAGG
rnacentral:rRNA from 1 species